rnacentral:rRNA from 1 species
AUUGAACGCUGGCGGCAGGCCUAACACAUGCAAGUCGAGCGAGCGGCGGACGGGUGAGUAAUAUAUCGGAACGUCCCGAGUAAUGGGGGAUAACUAAUCGAAAGAUUAGCUAAUACCGCAUAUUAUUCGAGCGGCCGAUAUCUGAUUAGCGAGUUGGUGGGGUAAAGGCCUACCAAGGCGACGUUCAGUAGCGGGUCUGAGAGGAUGAUCCGCCACACUGGGACUGAGACACGGCCCAGACUCCUACGGGAGGCAGCAGUGGGGAAUUUUGGACAAUGGGCGCAAGCCUGAUCCAGCCAUGCCGCGUGCAGGAUGACGGCCUAUGGGUUGUAAACUGCUUUUGUAUGAGGAUAGGUACCAUACGAAUAAGGACCGGCUAAUUCCGUGCCAGCAGCCGCGGUAAUAC